UCAGGUGGCCGACAGCCGUGGGGUUCCACCUCUUCCCAUCCCGAACAGAGAAGUUAAGCCCACGCGCGCCGAUGGUACUGCGCAAGCGGGAGAGUAGGUCGCCGCCGUCU
rnacentral:rRNA from 1 species